AGGUGGGAGGAAGGGGGCAGGAAGGAGGGACAAAGGAACCAGGGAAAAGAGAGACUCGCUCGCUUGCCUCCUGGUCACAGCCCCUCUGCUGCCCACGUUCUAUUCUUUAAUGCAUGUACACACAUUAUAAUCAUUUUGUGUAAUUUAAAGUUUUAUCUAAACAUUAUAUUAACUGUCCUAUAUUGCAAAUUGCUUUUUUUCGCUCUCCUAAGCGGUGUUUCUUCGAACAUCACACAUCUUCAUUGACCUUGAGUGUGGGAACAGUCAUCGAUGGUGUACUGUGCUUGCACUAAGAACCUUCUCCCCGGAGCUGGUCCUGUGUUUCUUUCCCAGCUCAGUGUCAGUGACAUCAUGGGGGUGGCAAGGAUCAGCCACAGUGGCGAAUUUAUAUCCCAGAAAUUGGUUAAAGCUACAGACAAGCUCUUCCUUCUAGAGGCUGGUGGUUAUUUGCCAAGACCACCAUGGUGACCAUGCCUCCAGGCCCGCUACCACUGACUUCGAGGCAAGUUUAAUUUGUCUCUAAAUGCUCAUGACUUCAAACAGCACUGCAGUGCUAGCUGCCAUGAGUCCCCGACCCAAAGGUGAAGAUGUGCGUUGGAGGCUUGGAGCAUCUGGAGCUCACCAUUCUGCAGGUGAGGAGGGAUCUCACUGUAGACUCGCCCACCAUGGAGACCCUGAUGUCUACAACACCCACUGAACAGCACAUUCCCUUCUCCGAUCAUCUAUGAUGUCACUUGUCUACACCAGUGAAGCCCAAGUUACCAGGAUUUUUUUUCCUUCAUGGAUCCUGUUUGAAGUGUCAAAUCUAAGAAAUCCUUGGCUAAUUCAGGUCACAAAGUUUCCUGGAGGGGCCAGAAGAGGACAUCAGGAGCAG